GACCUUGACCUUCUUACUUAUUAUUACAGGCGAAACUGAAGACUUUUCAUGGAAUAUACUUGCAAUAUAAUGGACUGUUCUGGAGCAGGAGCCUUCUAAUAGCCCAACCACAUCAAAGACCGGAAGGGAGGGCCCUUGAAACAUAACUUUUGGAUGCUCCCCUGAUAUGGACCACCUAGGACCCAUCCAGCUAUUGAGAAGUCAGUUUCCAUAAUUCUUCGCCAUGCAACAGAACUUGCCAGGGGCCUGGAAUACAAUUUAGGCUACAGUCAGAUGGGAUUUGCACUUCGUCCAACCCUGCAAAGUCACUCCUUGGCUAUUAUUUUUCACUCUAUUGUAAAUAGCAAGAGGCAGAUGAAAAGGUAAAAAAUAUGUUGGUUGGAAGAUACUUAUUCUCGCCUACCUAGGGUAAUCAAGAGGAGACAUCAGCUCCAGAUUUGAAUGCUGAUGAGGGCUGACCUGGGUGCCGUGUGCAAGAUGGAUUCUUGAGGCAGAGAUCAAAGUUGCUUUGCUAAAAUGGAACACUAAAAGUUUUGACAGAGCAAGCAAUAUGGAAAGGAAAAUAGCUGGAUAGGGAAAAAAAAAUACAUCCUUCUAGCUGUGCAAGCACCAAUCAGGACGGGUCUUUCUGGCCAAACUUCAACCAGAUGAUGUAGUUUAAACGUCAAGGUGUAAGUAAGGACUACUGCUUUCUACUCCUUGUAUCCAGAUAGUUCUUAACUGAGGUCCCUCCUCAGGAAUGUGAAGCAAAGAAAAUGGGAUGAAGCUAGCUUAGUCGAAGGUCAAAGUAUAAGUCUGGGGCCGAAGGAAAAAUGAGAGUGGUCCUGCUUUGUUGCUGAUCUUUAAGCCAACCACCCUGACCUAAAUUAUACCACGUUGUAAAAUGGGGUCCAGUGAAUGUCCUGGCCUCUGACCAAAGAGAUAAACAACUCCUCUUUCAGAGACAGGGAGGGAGUUGGGGGAUCAUUCCUUCCAUAGAUUCCUUUCAAAAUGUGGAGUCUUUUGAACCAGGGCUGCUAGACUUAGCAAAUAGAAAUAUAGGACACCCAGCUAAAUCUGAAUUUUAGAUAAGCGAGGAAUUGUUUCUGUAGUAUAAGUAUGUCACAUGCCAUAUUUGGGACAUGCUGAUAGUAAGGUGUUAUUUUUGUUUAUCUGAAAUUUGAAGUUAACUGGGCAUCCUCUGGGCUGUCUGGCAAUUCUAUUUCCAGUGGUGUUUUAAGGUCAGUUUGGGGAUGGUUCACUGAGACUGAUAGGAGGACAUUCAGAGUUCUUUCUUUGUUGUGAGAUGUAUCCUAUGUGUUCUGGAAUGUUUACGUAGCAUUCCUAGUUUCUACACGCCGAAUGCUAGCAGAACUUCCUUUGCUUCCACUGUGGCAAACAAAUAUGUCUCCAGACGUUGCCCAGUGUCUCUUGGAGGGCAGAGUCACCCCUAGUUGAGAACCACUGGUUUGGGGAUAAUGACAAAAGCAGGACUGUGAAGCAUAUCAAGAUGGUAGACCAGAAGGUGACACUUACAGUUGCUCCUUGAGCGACACGAGUUUGAACUGUGUGGGUCCACUUAUAUGUGAAAUUUUUUUUCAAUACAUACGGUGCAGUACUAUAAAAAUACAGUGCAAUAGUGUGAAUGUAUUUUCUCUUCCUUAUAAUUUUCUUAGUAACAUUUCCUUUUCUCUAGCUUACUUUCUUGUAAGUAUGCAGUACGUAAUCCAUAUACAAAAUAUGUAUUAAUCAACUGUUUAUGUUAUCAGUAAGGCUUCCAGUUAACAGCAGACUAUUAGUAGUUGAGUCUGGGGAGGAAUCAGAAGUUAUAUCAUAGGAUUUUCUACUGGGCAGGGGAUCAGGGCCCCUAAACCUUUCACUGUUCAAGAGUCAACUGUAUAUCCAUCCAAAUAAUGAUCUGGACCUGAUCUGUCAUCAUUCCUUCCCCUCUCCCCAUAUCCUGGGCUCCUUCCCAGUUAUGUCAAGGGCUAUCUAGACCUAUGUAGAGAAGCCCAACAAUACAUUUUAGUCCCAUGUUGAUUAUAAUCACUAGACACUCAUUCUCUGUUCACUUGGCCUUCCCAGACAGCUCACAUGAGGCUAUACAUGGAAACUCUUUGGGUUUUAGCUCAGAUAUCGUCCUCAACGAACACACAACAAACUAUUAAACCAGGUACUGCAAUCUUAUCUUAGGUCAUCAGGUUGCGUAGUCUGGGUGAACUUAACAUUUGAUGAGCAAAUCUCUUAUAGUCAAACUACCUUAUUUAAGUAUAAACAUUAUUCCUUAGGUCCAUUUAUAGAAGGGGACAUUUACAGCCAUUGGAUCAUGAAUUCUGUCCUUCAAACAUUUCUGUCUACACAUGUAGUUAAAAAAAAUGCUGAAGUGCCUUCAUGUGAUGCUUCCUACAUGUAAAGUUUCCUUGCCUUGAAUGUUUUCUCGUUUCCUUCGAAAAAACUGAAGUGACUUUUGCUUUAUUAACUUUGUCCAGCAUUGAUAAUGAACUCUGUAGACCUAUCAGCUUAUGUAGGGGGAAAUUUUCAUUAACAAGUUAAGUGUAACUAUGUUUCCUCAUUGCUUUCCACAUUUUGUAGGCUUUUAGAGAAGCAUUGGUUUUAUAGAAAUCCAUUGAACACAGCAAAGACAAUGUAACUAUCUUGUUAUGUUGCUGUGGGGGGAAAAAUCUCUGUUUUCCAUUCCCUAUAAAUGUUGUAUGUUUUCAAAUCUUUUUUUUUUUUUAUCUAAUGUGCUCUCUUAAAUAGGAAUAGUCUGUUCCCCAAGAAGCCCAUUUUAAAGAAUAACAUUGUCAUUAUUUAUAAUCACACGCCUUCAUCAUUAUAGGAAAAAAAAUGAGCCUUCUCAGAUUCUGAUAUCUGUAUUUAAUCAAUAACCACAUUCCUCUUUCAUCUGUCUUACCUCUGCAAUUGCAUUUUCCCAGCUGCGUAUGUUUUAUUGUAUAAGAAUUCAAUUGAAAGAGCCAUUCAUGUUUGCAAAAAGGAUGAUGUUUUAUUAUUGGUUAUAAAGAAAAGAAAUUUCAUACUUUGUAUAACCAACCCUUUCUGUUAUAGCGUGGUGAAUUCUGAGAGUGGGGAGCAAGUUAACUAACCGUAGAGAGACCACAGAAAAAUCUUGCAGUAUUGUGACCACAUUAUAAAAUCAGCCCUGGCAAUUUUUAUGUCUCUAAUUGACAAGCAUUCGACUCACUUUUGAAAUGCAUAAUCUUUGCACAGUUGAAGAGUAUAGACUAGAAAGGGAUAAGCGAUAAUGGUCAAAAUAUGUAACACUAAGGUGACAGGGCCUCAUCGAUGACACCAGCCAGGUACCAUCUUAUUGGAACGGGAUCCCAGAGACCCUGCAACUGCCAGGUGUUCUUCUUUUAGUGGCUGGCACCAUGCGAAGGUGGGAUGGGUGCUUGGAGAGGGGCCAGGGUGGCUGGAGGCAUAGAGGAAACACUAAGGAGGUACAAGGUAACAACUGUUUAUGAGCCGGUCUGGUAGUAUUUUAAUAUUCGAACCAUCGAAACAGCUGUACCAUGGUGUAGCAGCUGGACUGGGAAGUGGAAAACUAUCGAGUGGUGCAGUGUAGUUAGAAAAUGAGACCACCAGUUGGAGUUUGUAACAUUGCCCUGAACUCACUGUGUGGUCUGGGGUAAGUUAGUUCUUGGGACCCCUAUUUUCUCUUAUGGAGAAUGAGAAUAUUGGAUUGGAACAGUCCUAGGUUCCCUUCCUAUUCUAGGAAUCCACUUCUUUUCCCUGCUAAUGGUCUGCAGUUCUAAGCAUAGAGUCUAGAGUUGUCCUUGAACUUCUGAAAAGCAGAGAGGCUGAGGUAUUUGGCAGACAGUAUAGGGUACUGUCAUGCUCUGUGGUUCGUCAAACAGGAACAAAGCUGCAUUAACCGUCCAUGCGCUGUUAUUGUCAGGAGCAAGACAGGAGCAGUUAAAUACCUUUCUAUAAGCAGCUUAAAAACAUUUUUUUAAAGAUUAAUAGUUUUCAACAUGGGGAGGGAUUUCUUACAGAAUAGAAAAAUGUGCUCACUUAUGAAAGACACAAAAUAAAUGUUGCUUUUGCCUGAAAGUACCUAAGUCAGGCGAAAGCAGAUACUUUGGUAUUAUUUGUUGUUUGAUUGGAUUGUGGAAAGUUCCCUCUCCUCCUCAUUUCACUUCUGUGUUCUUUGGUUACUGAUAGAAAAGUGUGUGUGUGUGUGUGUGUGUGUGUGUGUGUGUGUGUGUGUGUAUUUCCGUGGGAAUGUAUAAGCACACAUUAAUGAACAAUUCCGUGCCUUACUAAAAGUAAAGAAGAAUCCAAUAUAACUUCAUCCUAGGAGUGUUUUCCCCCAAAAUGUUUGUUUUAAUUUGUUUGAGUUGAAAAUCAUUUUCCAAGUUUAUAUCACAUCUUAACAUUUUUUUCUGUAAGUAUGAGGAGGGACUCAGCAUAAUUGUGGAUUACUUUAAUUAUCAGAAAAGGAAAAAUAUGAUUUCUGACGCACAUGCUGUAUUAGGAGACUCAUGGUGAAUUAGUACCUAAACAUGUAUUUCUUCUGGAUUCCUGCAUAAGUGAUAGUUUAUUAAAAUGAACUGAUUCUGUUUUAAUAUCCUGUUGCUUAUUGUACCUGACAAACAGAAAUGAGGAAAAUGAAGAAUUGAUUAUCUGGGGUCAUUUUCGUGAAACUUGCAUAUAAUUCCCAUUUAUGCUCAUUGGAAUAAAGAAGAGUAUUUCUGUAACAAAUUAAGAACAUGCAUAACCUGUUAUGACAUAGUCAUAGAUGUAUAAUAAUAUGGUCUAGAAUUACAGUACUCUCUUGAAGUACAUCAUAUUCAAAAUUCACUGGAGAUGUCUUAGAGACAUCUGUUGUAAUUACAGGAACAUGGUUUCUAAUUCAUUUAAUUCCCUUUCCUACCUAAACUGUACAUAUAAGUGAAUUUUAAGAGACUGUAUAAAUAAAUUUUUAAUUACAAAAUGAUGUUAUACAAUACAUUAUUAAUAAUAACCAACAAUGCAUAAUGUUUAUGCAUGAGGCCAUUACAAAGACAAGCUAAUGUAUGUCAGUUCCAAAAGAAUGUACUAAUUUGUCCUGAAUUUGUGAAUGAAGUUGAAUCCAUGAUGCAAGCCAAUGAACGCAGUAACACAGAGUGGUUUAGCAUGCUUUUUUGCAGUCAAGAAACACCUUGUACCUAUGGCAUUUACGAGGUAUUUAAGAUCGUUCAUCACACAUGAUCAAGCUAUUUUUUUCCAACGAGCCAUGCAGUAAUGAAAUUUGGAAUAAGACCAUUGAGUUGACAACACUACCCUUGCCAGCCAGGUGCAGAAUAAAAUGGUCUAUGGCAUCCAAGAAAUGCGUACAAUCCUUACAUUUCAGCGCAUAGAAAUCAGUCUUAUUGUCAUGGAGUUUCCCUGUGGGGCCAAAGGGUCUGCCGGAACGUCGUUGACUUCAUUGUGCUAGCGGUAACAGAUUUCUGAAAUCUCCAUGGCCAACUCCAGACACUCGCUGGUCUCGUGGCAAGAUUCAAAAAGACUGCAGUCGACGUCACAGUUGCACUUGCAGUCGUGCCGCGGGUGGCUUUCAUCCGAGGUGUGGUGGUACCUGUGAGAGGGGCAGCACAGGUUGGUACACACUGUUUCGCACGUAUCUGGGAGCAUCAGGAGGCAGUCCCAAAACUGGCAAAACAGACAGGUGAGGAUGAGAGAGGCACACUCCUCUGUUUAAAGAAGAAGGAGAAGGAAAAGAAGAGGAAGAAAUUAAUGGUGGCACAUAGAGGGGCAUCUCCGAAGGACAGGCAGGUGUGGUGGCAUGCUUGAUAACUUUAUGGCCAACUCUUAAUUGUCCAUAUUAGGGGUAAAGUACACCAUUACUCUUCCCCACCUCCCUGCCGUACCCGUUCUACUUAAGUAAUUGCUUUAUUAACUUCCUGAGCAUUUCUAUUGAUUCCACAUAAUCUGGUUAUUUAAAGUGCUGUCACUUUUCUAAACUCCUUUAUUUACUUUGCCUGCAGAGGUGCUGAGAAGCCACGCAAUUAGCUACCUAUCUGGAAACCUUGCAGCUGUCUGAAAAAUAGCCAGUCCUCUGCAGGCGCAGGGAGCUUUCAGGAGGAAUUAGGGCUGGGGACAAGGAGAGACUGUACAAAUUUCCGGCUUCUCGUCACCAGGCUUUCUCAUUUGUAUGGUGUGGAUUCCCAUAAAUCUGCCACACCCAUAUUCGCAUGCCAGCGAAAAGCACAUUUCAAAACCCAGAGAAAGAAUUUUUUAAAUAGUCAGAGUUUUUGUUUUGGUUGUAUUUUGUUUUCAAUCCCUGCGUCCUUUGUCCUCCAGUUUGGGGAAGCCUUGCUUUUAUAUUCAUGUUAAAUGAAAUACGUCAUCAUAUGCCUGAAAGCGUAGAAAUCUUCUCAAUCCUCCUUAAGAAAAUUGGUUUAAAAAUUUACUACUGCAGACUUGUAAAAAUCGGAAAAGUAUCUCUAAGGUAUUGAAGGUAAUUGGUACUUCUAGCCAAACAGCUGUGAUGGGUUAUAGAUCAUGAUAUUUUUUGUUUCCAUAAAGGGAAUUAGUUAAGAGAUGCAGCAACUCUCUUGUUAAAAGUCAUAACUUGUUUUUUAGUUAAGUCUCAAAAACAUGUAAGCACUUUAUAAAUGGGUAGGUAAGUAUGUUUACAUGAUAUAUCAUCCAAUUAAUGAAAAUCACUAUCCUGAAGAUUGUUCGUGGCUGAAAGUAACAUUCCGGCCUGGAUUGGAGAAACAUCUCCUCCUCCUGAUGGGUUUAUCAGUCAAUUAAAGUUAUAUUUUCGUAAGGAUUUAUUUUGUUUCCAAUAAGAAUGUUAAUGUUAAUAAAUUCUGGUUUUCAGGCUUCAGUUGGCUGAGACUAUCCAAGCCUGCAGGAGAGAUUUUGCUCUUGGGUUCUGACUGUUCUCAGAGGCCUGUUCAUUUACUUCCAACAAUAUUUUCCAGAAAAGGUUUUUACUUUUUUUGUUCAGAUAUUUGUUCAUCCUUGAAAGGAGGGCAAGCAUGGAAACUUGCCCUAAAAGGGAACAAAUAUCUUGAAGAAACUUAGAGUCAUUAUCUAAAGGUCGAAAAUGACUGUGCAUAUAGGUAAACCAAAGUCUUCGUUCUUGCCUCUGUCCCAUGUGCCAUCCCUGCCUCACACCCUCCUUUCCUUUCUUCCCAAUCAGACAGUGAUGAAGAACUUCAAGGUGACUUUUAUGACUCCUUUAAUUGCCAUAUAUUGUUGCAGGUGCUGUGGCUGUACCUAAGUAUUUCCGGUUUAGGAAGCAUAUCCCAUAAUACCUCCAGGGUGUAUGCACUCAUCUCUUUGCCAGAUGGGGUGUAUUUUUUCAUUCACUUAGAGCCAGCUUCCAGCAUGUGGCCAAGUCACCCAUAUAAGUCACCACAAACCGCCCACAAAAAUUCAGGAGUCAGUUAGUACAGUACAUAGACUCUAUUUUACGUAUGCAUUUCUGAGGAGGGCAUGUUGGUGGUCAAAGAUACGGAGCAUGAAACCUCAUCAACUUACGCUGAUGCCAGCAAGGUUACUAGAGCAGCCCCUGGAAAAGAAGAAGUUCUCAGUACAAAAUAUCCCAAGCAAAUGCUCCAUAUCCUUCAGGCUGGAGGCUUAAGAGACUUACUCACGCUAGGAUCGUAUAAAAAUGAUCCCACUAGAUCUGUGUCCUUUGUAGAUGUCAGGGUAAAAGUUUGAUUUGCAGGUAAGUUAGGGUGGGAGCUGGUGACAUGGGGAUGGGAGUUGGGGUUUUGUAUCAAAG